rnacentral:misc_RNA from 1 species
GAUGAAGAACGUAGUGAAAUGCGAUAAGUAAUGUGAAUUGCAGAAUUCAGUGAAUCAUCGAAUCUUUGAACGCACAUUGCGCCCGCUAGUAUUCUGGCGGGCAUGCCUGUCCGAGCGUCAUUUCAACCCUCAAGCCCCUCCGGGGGCCUGGCGUUGGGGAUCGGCCCCGCUCCGGCGGCCGGCCCCGAAAUGUAGUGGCGGUCUCGCCGCUGCCUCCUCUGCGUAGUAGAAACACCUCGCAUUGGGACGCGGCGGGCCCACGCCGUUAACCAGAUGAAUUUUUUCAAGGUUGACCUCGGAUCAGGUAGGAAUACCCGCUGAACUUAAGCAUAUCAAUAAGCGGAGGA